UACGGAGGGUGCAAGCGUUAUCCGGAUUCACUGGGUUUAAAGGGUGCGUAGGAGGGCAGGUAAGUCAGUGGUGAAAUCCCCGAGCUUAACUUGGGAACUGCCGUUGAUACUAUCUGUCUUGAAUGUUGUGGAGGUGAGCGGAAUAUGUCAUGUAGCGGUGAAAUGCUUAGAUAUGACAUAGAACACCAAUUGCGAAGGCAGCUCGCUGCACAAUUAUUGACUCUGAUGCACGAAAGCGUGGGGAUCAAACAGG
rnacentral:rRNA from 1 species